CAACUUCCAAGGCUCGGUGCCGCCGCAGCUCGGGCAUGCCACUAAUCUCGAAACGUUGAGAAUCCACAACAACAAGUUGACCGGAACGAUUCCCACGGACAUUGACAAGCUGCAAGUACUGGAUGAGUUCACGGCAUAUGGAAAUAAACUCUCAGGUACUAUACCGGACAAUCUGUGUAAGUGCUCCUCGAUGUCAAAAUUGCUGCUGGGAUCAAACCAGUUGGAAGGAGAAAUUCCAAGCAACAUCGGGGACUUGAGCAGCCUUGCCAUCCUCGACUUGUC
rnacentral:lncRNA from 1 species